rnacentral:rRNA from 1 species
AGCGAACGCUGGCGGCGUGCCUGACACAUGCAAGUCGAACGUGAAAAGGGAAACCUGAGUAAAGUGGCGUACGGGUGAGUAACGCGUAGGUAAUCUACCCCAGAAUCUGGAAUAACCUGCCGAAAGGCGGGCUAAUACUGGAUAGAGCGAGGGAACUCGUAAGAGAGUUUUUCGGGAAAGGGAGCCCGCAAGGGCCUUCGUUCUGGGAUGAGCCUGCGUCUCAUUAGCUAGUUGGUAAGGUAACGGCUUACCAAGGCGAUGAUGAGUAGCUGGUCUGAGAGGAUGAUCAGCCACACUGGAACUGAAACACGGUCCAGACUCCUACGGGAGGCAGCAGUGGGGAAUCUUGCGCAAUGGACGAAAGUCUGACGCAGCCACGCCGCGUGAGUGAAGAAGGCCUUCGGGUUGUAAAGCUCUGUCGGAUGGGACGAACAUCUUCAUAGUGAAUAGCUAUGAGGACUGACGGUACCAUCAAAGGAAGCACCGGCUAACUCCGUG